GGCCUAACACAUGCAAGUCGAGCGGUAACAGAAAGUAGCUUGCUACUUUGCUGACGAGCGGCGGACGGGUGAGUAAUGCUUGGGAACAUGCCUUGAGGUGGGGGACAACAGUUGGAAACGACUGCUAAUACCGCAUAAUGUCUACGGACCAAAGGGGGCUUCGGCUCUCGCCUUUAGAUUGGCCCAAGUGGGAUUAGCUAGUUGGUGAGGUAAUGGCUCACCAAGGCGACGAUCCCUAGCUGGUUUGAGAGGAUGAUCAGCCACACUGGGACUGAGACACGGCCCAGACUCCUACGGGAGGCAGCAGUGGGGAAUAUUGCACAAUGGGCGCAAGCCUGAUGCAGCCAUGCCGCGUGUGUGAAGAAGGCCUUCGGGUUGUAAAGCACUUUCAGUCAGGAGGAAAGGUUAGUAGUUAAUACCUGCUAGCUGUGACGUUACUGACAGAAGAAGCACCGGCUAACUCCGUGCCAGCAGCCGCGGUAAUACGGAGGGUGCGAGCGUUAAUCGGAAUUACUGGGCGUAAAGCGUACGCAGGCGGUUUGUUAAGCGAGAUGUGAAAGCCCC
rnacentral:rRNA from 1 species